rnacentral:rRNA from 1 species
AUUGAACGCUGGCGGCAGGCCUAACACAUGCAAGUCGAACGAGUGGCGGACGGGUGAGCAAUGUCUGGGAAACUGCCUGAUGGAGGGGGAUAACUACUGGAAACGGUAGCUAAUACCGCAUACCAUCGGAUGUGCCCAGAUGGGAUUAGCUAGUAGGUGGGGUAAAGGCUCACCUAGGCGACGAUCCCUAGCUGGUCUGAGAGGAUGACCAGCCACACUGGGACUGAGACACGGUCCAGACGCCGAUGGGAGGCAGCAGUGGGGAAUAUUGCGCAAUGGGCGCAAGCCUGAUGCAGCCAUGCCGCGUGUAUGAAGAAGGCCUUCGGGUUGUAAAGUACUUUCAGCGGGGAGGCGGUACCCACAGAAGAAGCACCGGCUAACUCCGUGCCAGCAGCCGCGGUAAUAC